rnacentral:rRNA from 1 species
UACAGAGGGGGCAAGCGUUAUUCGGAAUUAUUGGGCGUAAAGGGCGCGUAGGCGGCUUUGCAAGUGACGGGUGAAAUCCCUCGGCUUAACCGAGGAACUGCCUGUCAAACUGCAUGGCUUGAGACCGGGAGAGGUGAGUGGAAUUCCCAGUGUAGCGGUGAAAUGCGUAGAUAUCCGGAGGAACACCAGUGGCGAAAGCGGCCACCUGGACUGUACCUGACGCUCAAACGCGAAAGCUAGGGGAGCGAACGGG